rnacentral:rRNA from 1 species
GGAAACUGAGGAUAAUACUGGAUAGGCAAUUUUUCCUGUAAUGGUUUUUUGUUUAAAUGUUUUUUCGCCUAAGGAUGGGUCUGCGGCCGAUUAGGUAGUUGGUUAGGUAACGGCUUACCAAGCCGUUGAUCGGUACGGGUUGUGAGAGCAAGAGCCCGGAGAUGGAACCUGAGACAAGGUUCCAGGCCCUACGGGGUGCAGCAGGCGCGAAACCUCCGCAAUGUGAGAAAUCGCGACGGGGGGAUCCCAAGUGCCAUUCUUAACGGGAUGGCUUUUCAUUAGUGUAAAAAGCUUUUGGAAUAAGAGCUGGGCAAGACCGGUGCCAGCCGCCGCGGUAACACCGGCAGCUCUAGUGGUAGCAAUUUUUAUUGGGCCUAAAGCGUCCGUAGCCGGUUUAAUAAGUCUCUGGUGAAAUCCUGUAGCUUAACUGUGGGAAUUGCUGGAGAUACUAUUAGACUUGAGACCGGGAGAGGUUAGAGGUACUCCCAGGGUAGAGGUGAAAUUCUGUAAUCCUGGGAGGACCGCCUGUUGCGAAGGCGUCUAACUGGAACGGUUCUGACGGUGAGGGACGAAAGUUAGGGGCGCGAACCGGAUUAGAUACCCGGGUAGUCCUAACUGUAAACGAUGCGGACUUGGUGUUGGGGUGGCUUUGAGCUGCUCCAGUGCCGAAGGGAAGCUGUUAAGUCCGCCGCCUGGGAAGUACGGUCGCAAGACUGAAACUUAA